rnacentral:rRNA from 1 species
GUGAGGAAUAUUGCGCAAUGGAGGCAACUCUGACGCAGCCAUGCCGCGUGCAGGAAGAAGGCGCUACGCGUUGUAAACUGCUUUUAACCGGGAAGAAACCCCAGGACGUGUCCUGGGUUGACGGUACCGGAGGAAUAAGCACCGGCUAACUUCGUGCCAGCAGCCGCGGUAAUACGAAGGGUGCAAGCGUUAUCCGGAUUCAUUGGGUUUAAAGGGUGCGUAGGCGGAGCGUUACGUCAGUGGUGAAAUCCUGCAGCUUAACUGUAGACUUGCCAGUGAUACUGGCGCUCUUGAGUGCGCUUGAAGUGGGCGGAAUGUGCCGUGUAGCGGUGAAAUGCUUAGAUAUGGCACAGAACACCAAUUGCGAAGGCAGCUCACUAAGGCGAUACUGACGCUGAGGCACGAAAGCGUGGGGAUCGAACAGGAUUAGAAACCCUAGUAGUCC